ACUGAAUAGAUACCCUGGUAGUCCAUGCUGUAAACGAUGAGAACUAGAUGUUAGGGGCAUGACCUCUUAGUAUCGAAGCUAACGCGAUAAGUUCUCCGCCUGGGGAGUACGGCCGCAAGGUUAAAACUCAAAGAGAUUGACGGGGGCCCGCACAAGCGGUGGAGCAUGUGGUUUAAUUCGAUGCAACGCGAAGAACCUUACCUACCUUUGAAUCCACGGAACCUAGCAGAGAUGUUGGGGUGCCUUCGGGAGCCGUGAGACAGGUGCUGCAUGGCUGUCGUCAGCUCGUGUCGUGAGAUGUUGGGUUAAGUCCCGUAACGAGCGCAACCCUUGUCCUUAGUUGCCAUCAGGUUAUGCUGGGCACUUUAAGGAGACUGCCGGUGAUAAACCGGAGGAAGGUGGGGAUGACGUCAAGUCCUCAUGGCCCUUACAGGUAGGGCUACACACGUGCUACAAUGGGCAGUACAGAGGGAAGCCAACCCGCGAGGGGAGCGAAUCUCAUAAAGCUGUUCGUAGUCCGGAUUGGAGUCUGC
rnacentral:rRNA from 1 species